GGGUGGUUAGCUCAAUUGGUAGAGCAUUUCAUUUACACUGAAAGGGUUACAAGUUCGAGUCUUGUACCGCUCA